CGCGACACGGCGACGGAGAAUAAGUCACGUGAGGAGCAGCAACGUCCCUCGAUUCUUGUGCGACAGAUACAGCAGACGCGUGACAAAAGUCUACGAGUUAUGCUGCUGGAACGAGAGCUGCGUCGACGUUUGCCAAAGACAACCAAGCGAGAUACUCAUCUAAUUGCGAACGGCGUCGUUAACAUCAGACGAUUAAGCAAUCCUCUCUGUUAACUCUUCCGCUGCAAGGAAACUAGCAAUCCAAAGAACAUCUGUAAAUGCCGAUGGAUAGCGGUGGCGUCUAGCUACGGGUGCCCAUACCUGGUGCGCGAUAUUAGCAUACGUGUGAGAGUCUCUGGGAUGAUCGGGAUAAAAAUGGGAGUACAAACAUCGGGACAUAAUAGACGCCCGACCGAUGGAAAUACUAAUGAGGUGGAACCGUGCAAGUAUAACAGAUCGUGAAGAAUGGCGCACGUGGACGGAGAUGCGACGGGAAUUACGAAUAUGGUAGAAAAGAAAAAGCUCGAAAGCGCAAUUACGCUCUCAACGGAUACGGUUUGCGAAAAUAUGCGAGCUUGAAUAUUUUCAAGUGACGAAGAUUUGUGACAGUGGAUAAUUCCGAUCAUACAGCCGAGUGGAUUGUUCUGAAGUGUUCAUACAAAAAAUGACUUUUGUUUACGUGCAGAGUAUUUACCGCUAAAGAAUGGCGAUGUGGAAGCUUUGGGGUCCCACGUUGCCCAGAGUUCGCAUCCAAUAAAAGGGAUA